AGAAGGGAGGGCAAAAAAAGCAAACCAGCUCUCCCACCAUUCCCUAGUGUGUGUCUGUAUUCCUGAAGCAUUAGCCAAGCGCAAUUGUGCAACCCUGGUGGAGGUGAGACAAAAAAAAGAGAACGAGAGAAGAGGUAGAGAGAGGACUAGGAACAGAGAAAGAGGAGAACGGGAGAGGAGGUAGAGAGAGGACUAGGAACAGAGAAAGAGAGCGAGAGAGGAGGUAGAGAGAGGACUAGGAACAGAGAAAGAGAGCGAGAGAGGAGGUAGAGAGAGGACUAGGAACAGAGAAAGAGGAGAACGGGAGAGGAGGUAGAGAGAGGACUAGGAACAGAGAAAGAAGAGAGCGAGAGAGGAGGUAGAGAGAGGACUAGGAACAGAGAAAGAGAGCGAGAGAGGAGGUAGAGAGAGGACUAGGAACAGAGAAAGAGGAGAACGGGAGAGGAGGUAGAGAGAGGACUAGGAACAGAGAAAGGGGAGAACGGGAGAGGAGGUAGAGAGAGGACUAGGAACAGAGAAAGAGGAGAACGGAAGAGGAGGUAGAGAGAGGGCUAGGAACAGAGAGAGGAGAACAGGAGAGGAGGUAGAGAGAGGACUAGGAACAGAGAAAGAGGAGAACGGGAGAGGAGGUAGAGAGAGGACUAGGAACAGAGAAAGAGGAGAACGGGAGAGGAGGUAGAGAGAGGACUAGGAACAGAGAAAGAGGAGAACGGGAGAGGAGGUAGAGAGAGGACUAGGAACAGAGAAAGAGGAGAACGGGAGAGGAGGUAGAGAGAGGACUAGGAACAGAGAAAGAGGAGAACGGGAGAGGAGGUAGAGAGAGGACUAGGAACAGAGAAAGAGGAGAACGGGAGAGGAGGUAGAGAGAGGACUAGGAACAGAGAAAGAGGAGAACGGGAGAGGAGGUAGAGAGAGGACUAGGAACAGAGAAAGAGGAGAACGGGAGAGGAGGUAGAGAGAGGACUAGGAACAGAGAAAGAGGAGAACGGGAGAGGAGGUAGAGAGAGGACUAGGAACAGAGAAAGAGGAGAACGGGAGAGGAGGUAGAGAGAGGGCUAGGAACAGAGAGAGGAGAACGGGAGAGGAGGUAGAGAGAGGACUAGGAAC